UCUUAUGGACGCUGGCGUCUUCUCACUGUGAAAUCACAGUGAGAAGCGCGGAAGCGCCUCUAGCGGCUGUCAAUGAGACAGCCACUAGAGGCUGGAUUAACCCUAUUGUAAACACAGCAGUUUCUAUGAAACUGUCAUGUUUACAGCAGGCAGGGUUAACCCUAGAUGGACCUGGCACCCAGACCACUUAAUUAAGCUGACGUGGUCUGGGUGCCUAUAGU